AUUUUUUUUCUUUUUAAAAAAACACUGUGCUAUUUCAUAGCCAUCAGAUUGGCAAAAAUGUAGGAGUAUAACCAUGUCGUGUUUUGCUACAGAUAGAAUAUAGAAAAAGAAAAUCUCAUAUACCAUAGUUUCUGAAUAUGAAAUUGUACAAUCAAUGCUUCAGUUGCUGUACCGGUGUAACAAAUUAAUCCAAAACUUGGUAACAUAAAACAAUCAUUUAUUAUGCUCCCAGUGGGUCAGAAAUUCAGAUAAAUCACAGCGGGGGCAGCUUGACUCUGUUUCAAUGACUGGGACCGCAACUGGAAGACUCAAAGGCUGGGAGCUGCAAUCAUUUGAGGGUUCACUCACCCACAUGUUGGGUGGUUGACGCUGGCUGAAACUUUAACUAGGCCUGUUGACUGAAAUAUCUAUAGAAGGCCUCUCCAGGUAGCAUAGAAGUUCUCACAGUGUGGAGAUUGGGUCCAAGGGUGAGUGUCCCACGACAGAGAGGGUAAGCCAAAGCAGAAGCUGUAGCACCUUUGAUGAUCUAGUCUUGAAGGUCAGGCAGUGUCACUUUCACUGCAUUCUAGUCAUUAGAAGUGAGUUCUCAAGACUAACUCAUACUCAAGGAAUGGGAACAUAGAGCCUAUUUUAGACAGAGGGGAGCCAAUGUUACAAUGUAAAAAGAACAUGUAGAAUGGGAUGUGUUGGCAUGGACAUUUUGGAAAAUACAAUUG
rnacentral:lncRNA from 10 species